rnacentral:rRNA from 1 species
CCUACGGGUGGCAGCAGUGAGGAAUAUUGGUCAAUGGGCGCGAGCCUGAACCAGCCAAGUCGCGUGAGGGAAGACGGUCCUAUGGAUUGUAAACCUCUUUUGUCGGGGAGCAAAAGACGCCACGCGUGGCGUUCCGAGCGUACCCGACGAACAAGCAUCGGCUAACUCCGUGCCAGCAGCCGCGGUAAUACGGAGGAUGCGAGCGUUAUCCGGAUUUAUUGGGUUUAAAGGGUGCGCAGGCGGAAGAUCAAGUCAGCGGUAAAAUUGAGAGGCUCAACCUCUUCGAGCCGUUGAAACUGGUGUUCUUGAGUGAGUGAGAAGUAUGCGGAAUGCGUGGUGUAGCGGUGAAAUGCAUAGAUAUCACGCAGAACUCCGAUUGCGAAGGCAGCAUACCGGCGCUCAACUGACGCUCAUGCACGAAAGUGUGGGUAUCGAACAGGAUUAGAUACCCUGGUAGUC